rnacentral:tRNA from 1 species
AUAGGCAUAGUUUUAACUAAAACAAUAAAUUGUGAUUUUAUAAAUAAGAGUUAAACUCUCUUUACCUAUC